CAAAGCUAAAUAUUUCGAUAUGCCAAGUAAAAAGGUCCUAUAUAUCAUAAUCAUAGUACUUGCAAUUUUAGCAUCAAUCUUCAUCAUUUUGUCUAUUGUGAUGCUGGCUAAGCCUAGGAAGUGCACAAUCGCCGACAUUUUCGACCAAAAUGCUACCACUAAAAUCCCCAUAAAUAUAAUUGAAUAAUUAUCAUUAUUUCAUUAUCAUGAUCUACCCGUAAUCUUGUGCGCUCGUCUGCCAAGUCUCGACACUUUUAGUCCAAUCGUCAAAGGGAUCAGUCGAUCGAAUCAAAAGUUGUUGUAAACGAGGAUGAAAAUGGUUUUUACUUGCUCCUUAAGCCCAAAAACUGUACAUGGGCCGAUGUGAUUGAGGAUUCUGGAAAAUUUAUGCCAAUUGGAUCAGAAAUAGUCACUUAAUUGCUCGUUUUUUAACCCACAACUGUUAAGUAAAGAGAUGUUCUGGCCGUGGUAAAGAAGGAGAAAUGUGCAUCCAGAGGUUCGCUUCGUACUUGUUUCCAGUUAACCGUAUCGAAAGAUGAACUUUAUACAAAGCUGUGAUCAAUGCCAUAACACUAGGCUACAACUACAACUACGACUGCAGAGUGGGGUGAAUGGGGUGAAUGGGGUGAUUGGAUGAGGCAUACGAAUAGUUGAUGCUCUACGUUCUACUUUAAAUUGGACUCACACAAAUAUCCGUCUACGUACUAAACACUAAGUAACUCUCAUUCGCCGGCUCAGCUGCACCAGCCGUCUCAUACUAGACAUACGCCUGAGCGCGCGUCCGGGGCUCCUUGCCCUGCAGUCGCUCCACGAAGUUCCGCC